AGCUCAAUCGGUAGAGCGUGAGACUCUUAGUCAUACCAAUACUGCGAUCUCAAGGUCGCGGGUUCGACCCCCGC
rnacentral:tRNA from 1 species